CAGCCCUGCGCUCACUGGAAGCCACAUUCCAGGGCAUUCAACCAAAAAAAACACGCCAACCACAGACAGGAACAGGCAGCUAUAGAAGCUGCACUCCAUGGACAAUCCUCUCAGGACCUACUGGAGAUGGCUGUGCAUGUGGGAAUCAGCUCAGAUAUCAAAGCUGUGGUUUGGUUUCUGUCACAUCGCCAUGGGAGAUGCCAAGGCUGCAAAGAAUCUGCUGAUAAAUGCCCACAGGAAUGUGGACAACACCACAGCACAGCUCUCACCACAAGCAAGUCACAAGGACAAAGGUCUUUUUCUUUUAAAUAAAUGUGGCAGAGUGUCUCAUCUGAUCACCGGACCACAGAACUUCGAGCUUUAAGGAAAGUUGGUUCCACUGAGCUAAUUCAAGCCAACCCAAGAAGAGACUGGGACAACUAUGUUCAAAAACUGGGCAUCUGAUUUUGGACUCAGUUUUCUGUCAAGCAUGGAUAUGACAGUUGGUGGCAGGGGUGGAGAGACAGAGAGAAGGGAGGAAAAAUCAUCCUUCUGUCUUCCUCCUCCUCACUACCCCUCUGCAGGGGAUAGCAUUUUGUUUUAUACAAUGUUUCCUGAGCCAAUGUCACAUCAUUGUGUGAGAGGACAAAGUCACUGGGACCCUCUCCAAGUGCCCCAGCUGGCCCUGCCUAAGGCCUGCCUGCAUGCCAACAGUCUAGUCUCACAGAAGAAGUAGCAAUAGCCACUGCUCUAACUGGAGGGACACCAAGGAAGAACCAGCUUUGUUCCAUUCCUCUGUUUAAUGAAUUUCCUGAGAAAGAGAGAGAGCUGGAAUUAAUGAUGCUGAUAGGGUGGAAACUCUUUUCUACAAUAAUUUAGUUCCUUUCCUCAUUUUCGUAUGUUCAAAAGCAAUUUCCAGGUACCUUGGGCAACAGGAGACUGGCACACAUGAUAUGCACGCAGCCAGUGGCAGCAGCUCUCCUCCACAUGCUUUUGCUUCUGGUGUUUGGGUUUAGAGAUAUGUACUUACCUGUGUGGAAAAAAAAAUCACUUCUGGGCUGGCAGGCCUGAAUCCUGCCUCAAUUUCUUCAGUGAGAUAACAGGAACACCCUGUGGUAAAGCGGGUUUGCAUUUACUCCUUCAGGUACAUUUGCUCCUCCAAACAAAACAUGAUACACAGUGGGUGCAUCUACACAAGACACUAUGUCACUGUAGCAACGCGCUACGGUGACAUAAUGUCAACGGUCACAAAUCACGGUGCCACAGCUACAUCACCGUAGCAAUAUGCUGCUUCACUAUAGUGCAUUGGUACACCGACAUAGCGGCUAAAAAUAACUGUGUGCUGCCUAAAGGAAGUACUAAAUGAUGGUGCAGUAACAACAGUGCUGUAGGGGCACGUGUAGAUGCACCCAGUAGAAACUAGAGCUCAUUUCUCAGGGAAAGUAGGACGCAAGAUGCAUAUUUAGCAGGCUAUAUAAACACAUGGGCUAGACUGCAGCCAUGUUAUGCAGUACUAACGCCAAUUUGCAACAAUCACCCGAAGACCCAGAAACAGGGUCUGAAAUUCAUUCUCUUGUUUUUCACUGAGAAACCCUCAAAUCAGGAAGUGCCCUGCUGACUCAAAACAAGAUUAAAUGAAGCUCCUCCCCUCUCCAACAGGGUCAGGAAAUGCUUGGCCAGCACACACCAGGCUGCACAUCCCUGAAUGACAGAAGCGGAUUCAAAAUGGAUGGCUAUUUUUCUGGAGACUAUCAGGCUGGGUAAGGAGAACACUCAUAGAGGAAAGAGGAGGAAAACAGGCCAGAGUGGUAAAGUUUACACAUAUACCCAUGCAUUGUGUAGGCAUCCGGGACGCAGAUUCACCCAAAGGAUAAUCUGCAGUUUGCUUUCCAGUCAUUCCUAGUGCCAUAUCAUACCCUCCUCUGUAUUAUACCAGUAGGGCACUCUGGCUUAGUCUCCUCACUAUAGCAUCCAUCACUUGGCCCCUAAGCACAGAUGUGCAAGAGAACAAAAAACAGUUCAAACAGGUCCAGAAUCAGUCAUACCACAAAGUGUAGAUGGCAGUUUAAGGAAGUAGUGGUUCUUACCUGACAGCUACCAGGCAGUCCUUGUCCAAACCAGCUAUCCACUGAUUGACUGUGGAUAGGGAAUGAUUGAGGGGGAGGGGAGAUUCUCUCCAAAUAACAUGCAAGCCAGUCCUGGGUCUGCCUCAACUCCGUCCUGCUGCAGGCUCUGCCAUCCCCAGAGUAGCAGAGCAUCUGCUCUCAGGCUGCUGGUUUAAUCUGAAGCUUUUGAUAUUUGUGAUUGGUUUCAUAAUCCUCAUCAAAAGGAAAUCACCAGGAUUAUGAAAUUCCUUUAAUCCCCCUGCCCUGUACAUGGCUGCCAUCAUCAGCACUCGUUGCAGAAAUCAGUUUUACCUCCUUAAAACAUCCCUAAACUGGCAGCUCCUUCUGAGCAGCCUGUGUGCGCCAGCAAGAGACCCUCUCCCAGGUCUUGUGGCAAGAAAUACAGGACAUUUCAAUUUCCAAAAUUGGCCCUGGUUUAUAAAUCUCAAUCUCAUCAGGCUGGAGAAAAGACAGAGGUCUGAUUUUUCCCUGGGAUUAGCAAACACUCUCAAUCCAGAAUUAGAAUACCCCUUAUAGUGUCAAUGAGGACUACUACUGUGCUCAAGUCUCAGUCAGCACUGACGGGAACUUUCUGCAUUUCUAUAAACUGCUUCUCUACAGCAGUUUUCAAUACUGUUGCUACUUCUGGUGCUAGUGAGGUUGCUGAGACCUUUUUCAAUGUGUCAUCUAGACUUGGCAAAAGCAGCACUGGCAACCUUCAUUAAAAUACUGGUAUUGAGUCUA